rnacentral:tRNA from 1 species
AGUCUAAUGGAUAUGACGUCGGCCUCCUAAGCCUAAGGUUGCGGGUUCGAGUCCCGU